CUUGCGGUAGGUGGCGAUCUCCACAUCCAGGGCCAGCUUGACAUUCAUCAGCUCCUGGUACUCCUUCAGCAGCCGGGCCAGCUUGACAUUCAUCAGCUCCUGGUACUCCUUCAGCAGCCGGGCCAGGUCCUGCUUGGCCUUCUGCAGGGCAUCCUCCAGCCCUUCCAGCUUGUUCUUGGCAUCCUUGAGGGCCAUCUCCCCACGCUGCUCAGCAUCAGCAAUGGCGGCCUGCAGGUUGGCGCACUGG
rnacentral:lncRNA from 1 species